UGGGGAAUAUUGGGCAAUGGACGCAAGUCUGACCCAGCAACGCCGCGUGAAGGAAGAAGGCUUUCGGGUUGUAAACUUCUUUUAAGGGAGAAGAGCAGAAGACGGUACCCCUUGAAUAAGCCACGGCUAACUACGUGCC
rnacentral:rRNA from 1 species